CUCAACAACUGCUAGAGUUUUAUCUUUCCCAACAAAUNNNNNNNNNNUGUCAACGGCUUUUUGAAAAUCCAUCAAAGUUCUAUCAGAUGCAGAUCUGUGUGUUCAUUCACCAGCAGGGACUCCGGAGCUCAUUUGCUCUUUUCUGUUCCCAGUCAUUACACCUCCAAAAUAAGUGAUAGCUGCUUUCUAGAGAAAGUCCCACAUCUAACAUCCUUCUAAAAAAGGGAGUCUGAAUCUGAGAGCUGAGAGGAGCCAAGAAAUAAAGAGUAACUCUAUUAGGAAAAUUACUCUCUCCAGUUCUAAGACUCCUCUCUACAUCCGGCCGAAAAAGACUCUUUACAAAGCACAUGCCCAAGAAACCUAAAAAGAAGGCCCAUGUGUGAUGGAGAAGUUAGUGACAGGAAGCAUCUGAAGCUGGACCACGGAGUAGUGGGACUGCCGCUCCGUCUUUUAGGAAACAAGUCAUCAAGCCAUUCUCUAUGCCAUGCGGGAGACAUACUGUCUGGGUCUGAAACGCUUUCCCCACUAAGGUCUGGCUCCCGAGCCCUGGCAUACCUUUGUGGUAUCUGAGUGCUUGUUCUGCAGUUGUUCCAAAUAGAGCUCGUUGACCUCCCCAAGAACCAACAGCUGCCUGUUCAAGAACUCCAUCUGCUGCUGGACCGACUCACUGUUUGAGAGCUAACCAAAAAACAUGAGCAAAGUGAAAAAUCCGACGACAUAAAACUAGCACAUAGACGUCAUUAA
rnacentral:lncRNA from 1 species